rnacentral:lncRNA from 1 species
CCCACUGCAGAGAGGAACAGAAUUCACUGGAGUGGGCACCAAAGCUUUUCAAAAUACAGGGAAACUUUUAAAAUGCCAAAAGUCCAAGGUGUCGCAUCAGAUCUGCGUGUAGACAGAAGCAUCAUUAGUAAUGUAAGGCGCUAACACAAAUCUGAAGUACUUCCUCCUCUGCCUGGGUCCCUCUCAAGAAUAAUGGGAAAAGCAGACAAUGGACUUCAUUCGGCUUUGAACUCCUGCUUUGACCACCCCAACAAGGAAGAAUGGACAGCAAUUGUUUUUUGCAACUCCUGAAAAUUUCCCAGAUGCUUCUCCCAAACAAAAUAAAGUUGAGUUGUAGGCUGCUUGCUCCCACAAACUGAUUGGACUUGCCCUAUAUGAGUUCCUGCGCAGAGCUCCCUGCGCAAGGGGGGGGACUGAACGCAAGGGAGUCCUGGCAGGGUACCACUGACAGGGAACACACUGCUGCCACCGUUUCUCUCACAGAAGUGCACAUAAGAAGGAACUGCCUGGAAGUCAGUGGACCACAGAUGCAAAAAAUCAGUGCUAGUGAUCCUUCUGUUUGCUGAAUGAAAACUACCUCUGUGCGAAGAAGGGCCAGUACAGCCACGGACGACUGUUCUCCUGAUCCCGCUACCCCGGUGGAACAGGCUGCUGCUUGUACUUGCUUGUUAGUGCUCACUUGGUUGGAGGUCGCUAUCCCACCAACAUACUGGUAGGUGAACUCAUAUCGGUGCUCCCUAGCUCAGAUCAAAACAAACCAGGCUAGCUGAAGCCGUUUAAAGAGGUAGCCUAAGUUAGCCAGGCUGCUUUGUGACUGAAGUGAGUUAAGGAGCAUGAACAACUCUAUUUGCAGAUCUGUGCACUGACAGUCUCCAGCAGGAAGAGCAUGACAAGUUGUUGGAGUCAGUAACCUCUUUCAUUGGCCCAGCUGGGUAUGGGAAAGGAUGUCUAUCCACAGCCUGUUGCCACAAGUAUCUGCAUUUUAUUUACUGACAAAUACCUGAUGGUAGCAGAAGACCACAUCAUCUAAUUAAAAGGAACAAAUUGUGCAUUUCAGUAAGUAGGAUAAGGUUUAUUAGGUUAUGUUACUUUACAUCUUAAAGUGAAUAAAGACAGAGGCUCCUAUCUCA